AUUUACUCUCCACACUGCGAGCCCUGAUUUACGCGAUGAGGCCUGGCUUGUACCCCUGCGAUCUUCCUCUCAUGCCUCACCCCCUGUCACUUUGUGGGUAGUCUUCAUGCUUUGAUCUUCCCCUUCAGAUAAACAAAGACUACUUUCUGGGUACAGUAGUUCAGUGAUCACCAUGACGGUGACGGAGAAGAGAGUUGGUGUUGCGGCUCGAGGAUCGUAUGGUGAAUUUGACAUUGAUGGGGGCUUGUCAGCUCCUAUCACUAUCAGCUAGCCCAUCGAUAUUCCUCCUGUCUCAGACUCUCCAGAUGGGGGGGCUUUGGAAUGGAAGCAACCUCACUGCGCUGCAUAGUUUGCUAAUGUAAACACGGUUGACCUGAUCUCAAAUCGUCGCAACCUCCAGAUCUGUGCCUUCGGUUGUUGAUGCGGGAUACUAAGCCACUUAUCGACUAAACUUUCUUUUGUUGCAAGCGCCUCUUUAACGUGUGCCCCAUUUGUGUGUGGCUUCUGAUAA